rnacentral:rRNA from 1 species
AGGACGAACGCUGGCGGCGUGCCUAAUACAUGCAAGUGGAACGCAUGAUUGAUACCGUAGCUUGCUACACCAUUAAUCAUGAGUCGCGAACGGGUGAGUAACGCGUAGGUAACCUGCCUACUAGCGGGGGAUAACUAUUGGAAACGAUAGCUAAUACCGCAUAAGAGUUUUUAACACAUGUUAGAAAUUUAAAAGGAGCAAAUGCUUCACUAGUAGAUGGACCUGCGUUGUAUUAGCUAGUUGGUAAGGUAACGGCUUACCAAGGCGACGAUACAUAGCCGACCUGAGAGGGUGAUCGGCCACACUGGGACUGAGACACGGCCCAGACUCCUACGGGAGGCAGCAGUAGGGAAUCUUCGGCAAUGGGGGGACCCUGACCGAGCAACGCCGCGUGAGUGAAAGAAGGUUUUCGGAUCGUAAAGCUCUGUUGUAAGAGAAGAACGUUGAGUAGAGUGGAAAGUUACUCAAGUGACGGUAUCUUACCAGAAAGGGACGGCUAACUACGUGCCAGCAGCAGC